rnacentral:lncRNA from 1 species
UCCACCAAAAAUGACAUUGACGGUGUUGGAUGGGUUCUGAAACUUUCCAUUGUCGCCAUCAUCUUCAUCUUCCUUGGCCUUGCCCUUGUCUUUGGUGUCAGAUGGCUCUGGGAGGUCCUUCAUGACUCUGCGUAGACUAAAGCAAUCUAUUACAGAGUGCUCAUGGUAUGGAUGCCAUGGGCACUGUUUCUUCAGGAGCUCAUUGAAUGAGGACCUCUCUUGAUUUUUG